UUGUAGCAGGUCACAUUGAAGAGAGUAGUUUACAGUGUGCAUUUAAUCCAGAAGUGCAACUGCCUGUGAUUGCAAUGUAUGAACAUACUAGGAGCUGUAUUGAAUACUUCAGUACUACCUGACCCAUGUAUCAUUCUUAUGUUACUGGAGCUAACUUAAAUAUCAAUUCAUAAGAUGCUCAUCAAUCAUGGUAAAUUUCAUUCUGAUUGGUGUCUCAGGAAACUUGGAUGAGGAAAUCCAGAGUCAUUUCUGAUUUAUGUCUCAGGCUAUCGGAAUGAGAGAACAAUUCCUGUACGUUGCUAACAUCAUGUGGUCAGG